rnacentral:tRNA from 1 species
GGGGUUGUGGCUCAGUGGUACAGUGCUUACCUAGCAUGUGCGGGGCACUGGGUUCAAUCCUCAGCACCACA